AGUGAACGCUGGCGGUAGGCCUAACACAUGCAAGUCGAACGGCAGCACAGUAAGAGCUUGCUCUUACGGGUGGCGAGUGGCGGACGGGUGAGGAAUACAUCGGAAUCUACUUUUUCGUGGGGGAUAACGUAGGGAAACUUACGCUAAUACCGCAUACGACCUACGGGUGAAAGCAGGGGAUCUUCGGACCUUGCGCGAUUGAAUGAGCCGAUGUCGGAUUAGCUAGUUGGCGGGGUAAAGGCCCACCAAGGCGACGAUCCGUAGCUGGUCUGAGAGGAUGACCAGCCACACUGGAACUGAGACACGGUCCAGACUCCUACGGGAGGCAGCAGUGGGGAAUAUUGGACAAUGGGCGCAAGCCUGAUCCAGCCAUACCGCGUGGGGGAAGAAGGCCUUCGGGUUGUAAAGCCCUUUUGUUGGGAAAGAAAAGCAGCAGGUUAAUACCCCGCGGUUCUGACGGUACCCAAAGAAUAAGCACCGGCUAACUUCGUG
rnacentral:rRNA from 1 species